rnacentral:lncRNA from 1 species
GAGAGUCGAGAGUUGUGAGAGAAAUUCAGAGAGCUUAAAAUAAGCUAUUGUUAUAGUGAUUUGAGAGAUUGGGUAUAUUGAGGUUCUGGAAAGUGAGCUAAAAUAUUAUAAUAUUUGUAAUCUUUAUUCUACUAGUAAAAUCGUUUUAUUUUGUCUUCGCCCGUGGAUGUAGGCUAAAAGUCGAACUAUGUAAUUUUUUAUGUCCUCUGUGAUUCUAUUGUCUCAUUAUUUCUCAAUUUCACUUUAGUUGCGUGUCUGUUU